AUGUGGUCACGAAAAACAGCCUAAAUUAGUGACCAUUUGGCCUCUUUGCUGUCAUUUGAGCUUGAUUUCAAUUUCGUGUCGUUCGAUUAGCCCCGUCUUGUGCUCAGGUCAGGUGAAGAACUUUGGUUUGUACGAUUGGGUACAGAAAUUUCUCGCUGAUUUUCAAUGAACAGCUCAAAGAUCGCUCAGAUGUUUCGAUUUUGAGAAACGACCUUGAGCUAGUGAGAUCCUAUUCUGAAAGCAACUUUUGAGACCAUGAACUCCUCUGGUAAGAAAUCUUGGAUCUCUGGCUGUUUGGUUUUCAUCUUCACUUAGUCUUAUUGGUGAGCUUAUGCUCUCUGACUGUUUGAUUCUUGCACUAAUUAUUGAUUUUUUUUUUUUUUUAUCUAAUGCUUUGUGUGGUGUGUGCAGCCGUAUUUUGUCUGUUUAAUAUAUUAAGCCGUUUAAUUCACAUGCCUAUAUUUAUCCCUUUACUAUUUUGAGUCAAAUUCCAAAGUGGAAUCGAAAGGGAAAAAACUUUAUUGAAGUAAAAACUUUAUUGAAGCAGGACUUUUAUAUGUGAUGUAUUUUCAUCUAGCAGUGGACUUGUGAUAAUUUAGCUGCAGGUGACUUAUUAUUUUUAUUAUGUUUUUCCUGUCAGCUUGGUGAAAUCAUUUAAACGUACAUCUGAUUACUGGCCAAUCGAUAUAUUUGUCAAUCUCUAUUUAUCCUCAUUGAUGAGUAUUAAUUUAAAGGAUUUACCAGUGGAGAACAGUUAAAGGAUCAGGAUACUACUCAGACAAAUUUGACUCUUCUUGCUAGUUUGGCUCGGCAGGGAAGAAUGUUUCUUAACCUUUCACUCUCUAAGCUAGAAAUUCAUGAAGAGGUACGAAUCUCUUUGGUUUAUUUCAUUAUUUCACAUUUGACUAUUUUGGUUUGAUCUUCAUCAAGAUCUUGCUACCUUCAUUUCCAUAGUAUCUAUCAUGACACUUUGCCACAGUUUUUUAAGGGCCUUAAUAUCACAACAUGGCAUAAAAAAUUCUUCACAACAAGCAUUUCAAACAUAUUAUGGUGCAACAGCAAACCCUUCAAUCCGAGCAACCUGUAAGAGUUAUGUGGCCUAGCUUAAGAUAGUUAUAGUUUUACUUUACUAUCUUUCUUUCUGGGUCUAGAGGGAGAGGGUUAGAUGUUGAUUUUACACCUUAUAUGUAUGCUUUAUUUAUGUUGGACAGAGCUUCUAAUUUAUUUUGUUGCUAAUGAUAUUUGUUUCUUUAUUUCAAUAGUGGAAUACUGGUUUUGAUUGUAAUUAAUGCAUUUUCGUGAUA